rnacentral:rRNA from 1 species
UACGUAGGGGCCGAGCGUUGUCCGGAUUCAUUGGGCGUAAAGAGCUCGUAGGCGGUUUGUCGCGUCUGCUGUGAAAUCCCGAGGCUCAACCUCGGGUCUGCAGUGGGUACGGGCAGACUGGAGUGCGGUAGGGGAGAAUGGAAUUCCUGGUGUAGCGGUGGAAUGCGCAGAUAUCAGGAGGAACACCGAUGGCGAAGGCAGUUCUCUGGGCCGUAACUGACGCUGAGGAGCGAAAGCGUGGGGAGCGAACAGG